GGAAAAGCCACCGCUGCUGAGAAAGGCAGCUGUGCCUGGGCCCCGCAGGUCACACUGGAGUCCUCACCUCCAUCUCUGCAUUCUGGUGCAUUUGGAAGAGGAUUUCUAGAGGUGGGAGAGGAGAUGUAACUUCCCCCACCUCCUUCGCAUCUUCUAACAGUUGCAGCCUCCUCUGCUUUGCGCAUUCACAGGGAGGAGCAUGGGCAGCACCUGCAUGGGUGGCACACAGCCUCAGCCUGCAGGAGCAUACACACCCCAACAGCACUCGUUCUGCAGCUGUGGCCUGCACCUUCCUCAACCCCUGGCCCCUCAUCUAGGCUGUUACAGGGGAACUGGAAUCCACCCGGCUCAGGGCCCAGGUACUUCCGCAAGAGGCUGUUGCCCUAAGGUAAGCCCAUCCUGAGACAGGUGAUGAAGACAUGGCAAGCCUUCCAGAAGCUGCUGUGUGUGUGUGUGUGUGUGUGUGUGUGUGUGUGUGUUUCAGACUCGGUAGGAAAGGAUGGGCCAUUGACAAGAAUAACACAGACCAGCAGGCAGAGCAGGCAUCACAGGAGACGCCCUAAAGGACAAUAAGGAAGCAGGCUUGUGUGCAGCUGGGCCUGGCCUCCCUGGUGUGAACUGACUGGCUGGCACCAGGCAAGGUAGGCCGGACCUAGGGUGUGGUGGCUCAUGAGGCCAUUAGAGCAUCUGUCAGGCCCAGCACCCAGGGCUUGUGCAGUGGGGCAGGCCCUACCCUUGCAACCGUGCAGGGAGAGGGUGAACUCAAUCCAGAGCACUUCCUUCUUAGGGGGCCACAUGUCCGUUGUGAUUUCAGGGAUUUGAGCACCUGCUUUUUCUGGCAUAUAUUCUGUGGUCUUGUGGACACAGUAUUGGCUGUGGCCCAGGCUCUGCCCUGGUUCUCUUCCCGACAGACUGUGUGGCCAUGGGCAAGUCGCAUCACUUCUCUGGGCUGCCACAUCCUCUUUGAUAAGACGAUGAGGUUGGGCUAGAUGACCUCUAGAAUCCCUUCCGACUUGCUGUCAGAUUGCUCUAGGAUCCAAGAUUCGUUUCUAAGACAAUAUUGAGAGGCAAUACGGCCUAUAUGGCUGGAUCCUGUGAGACGGGGGUUUACACACAUUCUGAUGCUGUACAAUCUUCACGUUAAAAGCAAAUACUGGAAUAUGGCAUUCCUCAAAAAAAUUAAACGUAAAAUUACCAUAUGAUCCAGCAAUUCUACUUCCUAAUACAUAUGCAGAUGAAUUGGAAGCAGAGUGUCAAACAGAUAGUUGUACACCCAUGUUCAUAGCAGCAUUACUCACAAUAACCAAAGGAUGGAAACAAACCAAGUAUCCACCAACAGAUGAAUGGAUAAAAAAAAGUGACAUAUCACAAAGGAAUGUGAUUCAACCUUAAAAAGGAAGGACAUUCUGAUACAUGCUACAACAUGGAUGGACCUGGAGGACAAUGUGUUGAGUGAAAUAAGCCAGAUACAAAAGGUCAAAUACUGUAUGAUUCCGCUUACAUGAGUCAUCACCUUCCUAGAGACAUGAAGUAGAAAGGUGGCUGCCAGGGACUGGGGCACUCACUGGGUAAUCGGAAGUUACUUCUUCAUGGAUGCAGAUUUUCACCUUGGGAAGAUGAAAAAUGUUCUGAAAAUGGUGCUGGAGGUUGCACAACAAUGUGAAUGUAUUUAAUGUCACUGAAAUUUACACUUAAAAAUGGUUAAAACUUUAUGGUAUGUAUAUUUACCACAGUACAAAAAGCAUGGCCGGGUGUGGUGGCUCAUGCCUGUAAUCCCAACACUUUGGGAGGCCGAGGCGGGCGGAUCACUUGAGGUCGGGAGUUUGAGAUCGGCCUGGCCAACAUGGUGAAACCCUGUCUCCACUAAAAAUACAAGAAUUAGUUGGGUGUGGUGGUGCACGCCUGUAAUCCCAGCUACUCGGGAGGCUGAGGCAGGAGAAUGGCUGGAACCUGGGAGGUGGAGGUUACAGUGAGCCGAGAUCAUGCUACUGAACUCUAGCCCCUGGGUGACAGAGCGGGACUCUGUCUCAAACAAACAAACAAAAAACAAACUCCAAAACCAAAAAACAAACAAAAAACCCAAAACAAAAAACAAACCGAAAUGCAAAUACUAGGAUGUUUAUGUAUCUUAACAUGUUAAAUUUAGUAUAAGAAAUAAUUGUAAAUCAUAAUUUGUGCUGGCAUAUAGCCCUCUUGUUUGAUAUGAGUGAAACUAAUCAUUGAAUAAUUAAUUUGAAAAAUUAAAGUGGGAAA
rnacentral:lncRNA from 1 species